UACGUAAGGGGCAAGCGUUGUCCGGAAUCACUGGGCGUAAAGCGCACGUAGGCGGAUUGUUAAGUCAGGGGUGAAAUCCUGGAGCUCAACUCCAGAACUGCCUUUGAUACUGGCGAUCUUGAGUCCGGGAGAGGGAUGUGGAAUUCCAGGUGUAGCGGUGAAAUGCGUAGAUAUCUGGAGGAACACCGGUGGCGAAGGCGGCAUCCUGGACCGGUAUUGACGCUGAGGCGCGAAAGCCAGGGGAGCAAACGGG
rnacentral:rRNA from 1 species